UGCUACUAAAAGAGAGACAUCCUAUUAUCCUGAAAAUGUACUCCAUAAUGAAAAACAAGGGAAAAGAGAUCAGAAGGGUUAGCAUUUGCUGCAACACAGAGUGAAUUUUUACUCCUGUUGCCUCGAGGACAUUCAUUGGAAACAUCAUGUUGCACUUGAUGGAGACUCUCCUGAUGAAAAGAGCUAAUACCACCUUCAAAAUACAGUAAGGACCACUCUAAAAUGCAUAUUGCUGGAGAACGCUUGGAUGGACACUGUCACGAAAACACCCCAGAUGACAUAGGAGAAAUGGUGAAGAAGAAUCAUAAGAAAAGAAGGAGGAGAUGAAC